rnacentral:rRNA from 1 species
GACGUAGGGCGCGAGCGUUGUCCGGAUUUAUUGGGCGUAAAGAGCUCGUAGGCGGCUUGUCGCGUCGACCGUGAAAACUUGGGGCUCAACUCCAAACCUGCGGUCGAUACGGGCAGGCUAGAGUUCGGUAGGGGAGACUGGAAUUCCUGGUGUAGCGGUGAAAUGCGCAGAUAUCAGGAGGAACACCGGUGGCGAAGGCGGGUCUCUGGGCCGAUACUGACGCUGAGGAGCGAAAGCGUGGGGAGCGAACAGG